rnacentral:rRNA from 1 species
UACGUAGGGGUGCGAGCGUUGUCCCGGAAUUAUUGGGGCGUAAAAGAGCUCGUAGGCGGUUUGUCGCGUCGACUGUGAAAACCCCGGAGGCUUAACCUCGGGCCUGCAGUCGAUACGGGCAGACUAGAGUUCGGUAGGGGAGACUGGAAUUCCUGGUGUAGCGGUGAAAUGCGCAGAUAUCAGGAGGAAUACCGGUGGCGAAAGCGACUCUCUGGACGGCAACUGACGCUGAGGCACGAAAGCGUGGGGAGCAAACAGG